rnacentral:lncRNA from 1 species
GCUCAGCUGGGGGCUGCGGGGACCAGCAGCAUAUGGCUCUAGGCUGUGAGUUAAGUCUAGCUUAGCUGCUUGCAUCGCCUCAUUCUGGGACUCCUGGUGAUAUGGAGCACAUUCCUCUCCUGACAAAUGGAAGAUGCUCAGGGGACCAAGACACAUCACAGAAGUCCACAUAAAACCUCUGUCACAGCACGUCUGCUAAAUUUCCAUUGGCUCAAGCAAGUCAAUCACGACCAGAGGCGGAGGCCAAGGCACAUGCAGUGCGCAUUAAGUCACAGGGCAAAGGGGGUGGAUCACCCCAUGACCACAGAGAGAGAAGAGAGUGACCUCCUAACACUGAAUUCAAGCUAUUUCUAUGGGAAGAGGCAUCUUGUUGGCUGGCCAUCUUUUUUUAAAUUCCCAUCAUCAAUAUGCCCAAGAAAUCCUGGAAGCUCUGGUCUCAGUGAGGAUUUGCCACUGCCAAAUGUUUCAAGAGAUGGGUCUGCAAAAAGUUUCAGCUAAUUUAAGAAACCUCAAGAGGCAAAGAGGCUGAUGGAAGCCAGCAAAGGUUGAAAUCACAUAUUUCUAGACAGAGGGUGAUGAUGCUGACCGGGAAGAAGAAAGACUAAAGGUUUACGGGACAAAAGAAACUUUACUUAAUUCCCUUAUCGUUCAUAAAGGGACAAGAGUCCCCAUUUAGAGUUACUUCAGUUUAUUACAUCUUAAAAUAUUAAUUUGGAAUUAAAAUAAAAAGUUAGCAUGUGUUUGAACA